rnacentral:rRNA from 1 species
UGCGUAAUAGCUCACUGGUCGAGAGUCUCUGCGCCGACAAUGUAACGGGGCUAAGUUAUGAACCGAAGCUGUGGAAUUGCGCAAGCAAUUGGUAGGAGAGCGUUCUGUAGGCCGUUGAAGGAGAAGCGUAAGCAACUCUGGAGGUAUCAGAAGUGAGAAUGCAGGAAUAAGUAGCGAGAAGGGAGGCGAGAAUCCUCCCCGCCGGAAGACCAAGGUUUUCAGGGUAAAGCUUGUCUUCCCUGAGUAAGCCGGGACCUAAGCCGAGGCUAUAGUGCGUAGGCGAAUGGAAAACAGAUUAAUAUUUCUGUGCCAGUCAUAUUUUGUGAUGGAGGGACGCAGAAGGGUAUGUACGCGGAAGAACGGUAGUUUCCGUAAAAGCAUGUAGAAUGACUUGAUAGGUAAAUCCGUCAAGUUAGAUUUGAGGUGUGAUAUAUAGUCGUAAGAUGAAUGUACAAAUCCCACGCUGCCGAGAAAAGCUUCUAACGUUAAGGUAUGACUGCCCGUACCCGAAACCGACACAGGUGGUCAGGAUGAGAAAUCUAAGGCGGACAGGCUAACUCUCGUUAAGGAACUCUGCAAAAUUGCCCCGUAACUUCGGGAGAAGGGGUGCCCCUGAGUGUGAGCAUACACGCGAUGUUAAGCGCUUGGGGGUCGCAGUGAAGAGGCUCAAGCAACUGUUUAACAAAAACACAGGUCUAUGCUAAGCUGUAAGGCGAUGUAUAUGGGCUGACACCUGCCCAGUGCCGGAAGGUUAAGAGGAGGAGUGAGAGCUCCGAAUUGAAGCCCCGGUGAACGGCGGCCGUAACUAUAACGGUCCUAAGGUAGCGAAAUUCCUUGUCGGGUAAGUUCCGACCUGCACGAAUGGUGUAAUGAUUUGAGCGCUGUCUUGACGGGAGGCCUGGUGAAAUUGUAUUACCGGUGAAGAUACCGGUUACCUACAGUAGGACGGAAAGACCCCAUGGAGCUUUACUGUAGCUUGGUAUUGGGUUUUGGCAUUGCAUGUAUAGGAUAGUUGGGAAACUAUGAUGGUAUGGCGCUAGCUAUAUCGGAGUUGUCGGUGGAAUACCAACCAUUCAAUGUUGAAAUUCUAAUCUGUGGUUUGGAGCCACGGAGACAGUGCUAGGUGGGCAGUUUGACUGGGGCGGUCGCCUCCGAAAGAGUAACGGAGGCGUUCAAAGGUUCUCUCAGGUUGGAUGGAAAUCAACCGCAGAGUGCAAUGGCAUAAGAGAGCUUGACUGCGAGACUGACGGGUCGAGCAGGUGCGAAAGCAGGACAUAGUGAUCCGGCGAUUCCGAAUGGAAGGAUCGUCGCUCAACGGAUAAAAGCUACCCUGGGGAUAACAGGCUGAUCCUACCCGAGAGUCCAUAUCGACGGUAGGGUUUGGCACCUCGAUGUCGGCUCAUCGCAUCCUGGGGCUGGAGAAGGUCCCAAGGGUUGGGCUGUUCGCCCAUUAAAGCGGUACGUGAGCUGGGUUCAGAACGUCGUGAGACAGUUCGGUCCCUAUCCACUGUAGGCGUUAGAAUAUUGAGAAGAUCUGUCCUUAGUACGAGAGGACCGGGAUGGACAAACCUCUGAUGUACCAGUUGUCACGCCAGUGGCACAGCUGGGUAGUCACGUUUGGAACAGAUAACCGCUGAAAGCAUCUAAGCGGGAAACUGACUUCAAGAUAAGUAUUCUUUAAGACUCCUUCGAGCCUAGGAGGUAGAUAGGUUGGGGGUGUAAGGGCUGUGAGGCCUUUAGCUGACCAAUACUAAUAAGUCGAAGUUUUAACCUU